rnacentral:tRNA from 1 species
GGAUUGUGGCUCAGCGGUAGAGCGCUCGCCUGGCAUGUGUGAGGCCCUGGAUUCGAUCCUCAGCAUCA